GCCUCUCCUAGUAGGGUGGUUAUGACACUCGGCUUGUAAUCGAGUGGGUUCGAAUCCCGAGGAAGGCA